UUUUUAUUUUUAGAAGGGGAGUGUCAUAUAUCAAGAUCAUCAAAGACGUCUGGCAACGCAACUGACAGCCAGGUCCCCAGUUUGACUUAUGUCACAACUCAUGUCAUGUCGUAUAAUUUAAAAUGUAUAAAACUAAUUAAAUAAAAAGUAAUUAUUAAA
rnacentral:lncRNA from 1 species